rnacentral:pre_miRNA from 1 species
AUAUGAGUGACCUGGGGAUUUGGUUAAAAUGUAGAUUCUGAAUUACAAGGUCUGGGCUGGAGCUUGAGGAGAUGCAUUUCUAAUCAGCUCUCAGAUGAUGCUGAU